GAUAGCUCAGUUGGCAGAGCGAAGAACCGUAGAUGUAUAUACGUUGAUCCUUAGGUCGCUGGUUCAAAUACUGCUCUUCACCU